GACGAACGCUGGCGGCGUGCUUAACACAUGCAAGUCGAACGGAAAGGCCUCUUUCGGGGGGUACUCGAGUGGCGAACGGGUGAGUAACACGUGAGUAACCUGCCCUUGACUUUGGGAUAACUUCAGGAAACUGGGGCUAAUACCGGAUAGGAGCUCCUGCUGCAUGGUGGGGGUUGGAAAGUUUCGGCGGUUGGGGAUGGACUCGCGGCUUAUCAGCUUGUUGGUGGGGUAGUGGCUUACCAAGGCUUUGACGGGUAGCCGGCCUGAGAGGGUGACCGGCCACAUUGGGACUGAGAGACGGCCCAGACUCCUACGGGAGGCAGCAGUGGGGAAUAUUGCACAAUGGGUGGAAGCCUGAUGCAGCAACGCCGUGUGCGGGAUGACGGCCUUCGGGUUGUAAACCGCUUUCGCUCAUGACGAAGCUUUGUGUGACGUUAGUGGGUAAAGAAGCACCGGCUAACUACGUG
rnacentral:rRNA from 1 species